AACGACAUCGUUUAAUGCCUUAUAAAAGUCAAUUUUAAAACCCUAAAAAUCAUUUCCCUUCUACCCCUCAAUACAUGCGCCGCAGCGCCCCUCCUCUUCCACUCCAGUCUCCUCAGCCACCGAUUACAACCACGAUUCGGAUGUGGCGCAGAAGGGCAUCGACGGCGCUGCCACCGGUAAGAACUCCUCCCCUUUUCGUCUAUUUUCUAAAGAAAAACAACCAAUAAAAGAAAAAAAACAGUAAAGGAAAGAAAAAUCGAAACACGAGAUUCACCUUCAAAUUUUGUUUUUUUUUUCUGAUCUCUUUUCCCUUGUAUUUUAUUUUUAAUUUUCAAUAUAGAAAUUUGCUCACCCCCUAAAUCGGUUUACAAUCGGCCUUUUAUACCGAAAACUAAUAAUAAUCAAUAAAACUCCUAUCUCUUGCUUGUUGUGCUGUGAUUUGUGGUUUGUUUGCAGGUGGAACGAGCGUUGUGCGCGGCGACGUGCGCGACAUGCGGGGCGACAUGCAGGAACUGCUGCGGCGCGAGUUUGCUGCAAUGCCUAGGGUUUCUGCUAAACUUUUUGGUUUUUGGGCUAGCAGGCUAGGUUUGUAAUGGGCCCGGGUGUAAUUUGGGUUUUGGGUAUUAGUUGGGUCUGUUUUGAGUGGGCCGGGCAAAAUGGGCUAUUACAACUCUAUGUAGGUAUUGAGAAUUAAAUGUAUUAUACUAGUUAGAAAAAGACUUUUCGUUAUCAAUUUAAUGGUGGGUUAUCGAGGUAGGUACAAAUUCAAAUAUUAGUGCCUAAAUUAAAAAUAUUAAAAAUUGGAUAACCAAAAUAGAAAUGUGAGCAUAAUAAUUAGGUGAACAUCUGUAGAAUUUAUCCUUAAAAUUUUCCCUUUGGGGUUCUGAGCCUGAAAAUGCA
rnacentral:lncRNA from 1 species